UACGUAGGGUGCGAGCGUUGUCCGGAAUUAUUGGGCGUAAAGGGCUCGUAGGCGGUUUGUCGCGUCGGGAGUGAAAACACCGGGCUUAACUCGGUGCUUGCUUUCGAUACGGGCAGACUAGAGGUAUGCAGGGGAGAACGGAAUUCCUGGUGUAGCGGUGAAAUGCGCAGAUAGUCAGGAGGAACACCGGUGGCGAAGGCGGUUCUCUGGGCAUUACCUGACGCUGAGGAGCGAAAGUGUGGGGAGCGAACAGG
rnacentral:rRNA from 1 species